CAGAAAGUAGUUUAUAAAAAAUAUUAAUUUUGGGAAUUAAAGAAGGAUAAUUUUUAUUCUUUUCUGA
rnacentral:tRNA from 1 species